CGAUUCCCUUACAACCACCGAAGUUAAGCAAUGUCGAGCCUGGUCAGUAUCUAGAUGGGCGACCACUUGGGAAGACUAGGUGCU